rnacentral:rRNA from 1 species
UACGUAGGGUGCGAGCGUUAAUCGGAAUUACUGGGCGUAAAGCGUGCGCAGGCGGUUAGCUGUGUCCGAUGUGAAAGCCCCGGGCUUAACCUGGGAAUGGCAUUGGAAACUGGCUCGCUGGAGUGUGGCAGAGGGGGGUGGAAUUCCGCGUGUAGCAGUGAAAUGCGUAGAGAUGCGGAGGAACACCGAUGGCGAAGGCAGCCCCCUGGGCUAACACUGACGCUCAGGCACGAAAGCGUGGGGAGCAAACAGG